AGGGUGACAGAAAUACUAAAAUAUCGCGAACCUAAAGGAGAAAUGCCAGACUGGGACAGGCAAGACAUACUAACAGCAAUGCAGAGCAGGUAAGAGUGGAGCGGCUGUCCCUGAAGCAGGUGGAGAGGGCCUAGAAGUUCACCCAGCUGCGCCCACCCAGCUGUGCCCUAAAGACCCUCCAUGGAACGUGAGGGCUCCGGAGGAUGCAGACUGAGAACCACAGCUCAGCAGGGAACAGGAGGCCCCCUUAGCAACCAUGGAGAAGCCACAGACACAGCAUCGUGGAGAAGCUCCUUCUGCUUGAAGACAGACUGUUCUGGCAGAGAACCUCCGGCCAUGAGGUAUCCAAAACGUCCUAAACUGG